AAGACUAUCCUUUCAGGGAUCAUUUCUAUAGUUCAGUCCUAGAGAAGGUUCUCUGAAUGUGUAGGGCAUGGAAAACCACAAGGAGGAGGCACAGUAUUCUCCCGAGCGUGGAGUUGGCUCUAGGUGUUGCUUUCUUGUAACUGCCUGCGGCCAGGCAGCCAUUGAUUGCUCUCUCUCACUUUGGGGGAAUAAGAGGGAGAGAAUGCAGUCUGAGUGGU
rnacentral:snoRNA from 1 species